AUUGAACGCUGGCGGCACGCCUAACACAUGCAAGUCGAGCGGCAGCGAGACUAGUAGCAAUACUAGUUGUCGGCGAGCGGCGGACGGGUGAGUAACACGUAGGAAUCUGCCCUUAAGCGGGGGAUAACCAAGGGAAACUUUGGCUAAUACCGCAUAAUCUCGAGAGAGCAAAGCUGCCCGCAAGGGUGGCACUUGAGGAGGAGCCUGCGUCCGAUUAGCUAGUUGGUGGGGUAAUGGCCUACCAAGGCGAUGAUCGAUAACUGGUCUGAGAGGACGACCAGUCACACUGGGACAGAGACACGGCCCAGACUCCUACGGGAGGCAGCAGUGGGGAAUAUUGGACAAUGGGGGCAACCCUGAUCCAGCGAUGCCGCGUGAGUGAAGAAGGCCUUCGGGUCGUAAAGCACUUUUAGCGGGGAAGAAAAAGUUCAAAGCUAAUAAUUUUGAGCCUUGACGUUACCCGCAGAAAAAGCACUGGCUAACUCUGUGCCAGCCGCCGCUGUAACAC
rnacentral:rRNA from 1 species